rnacentral:misc_RNA from 1 species
GAUGAAGAACGCAGCGAAAUGCGAUAAGUAAUGUGAAUUGCAGAAUUCAGUGAAUCAUCGAAUCUUUGAACGCACAUUGCGCCCGCCAGUAUUCUGGCGGGCAUGCCUGUUCGAGCGCCAUUACAACCCUCAGGCCCCCGGGCCUGGCGUUGGGGAUCGGCGGAGCCCCCCGUGGGCACACGCCGUCCCCCAAAUGCAGUGGCGGUCCCGCCGCAGCUUCCAUCGCGUAGUAGCUAACACCUCGCGACUGGAGAGCGGCGCGGCCACGCCGUAAAACACCCAACUCUUCUGAAGUUGACCUCGAAUCAGGUAGGAAUACCCGCUGAACUUAAGCAUAUCAAUAAGCGGAGGA